CAGUGACAUUGAGGUGACAUUCCUUAUAGUUCUUCCCAUAACUUGUGUCCACUUCACACCAGUACAGCCCCGAGUCAUUAGUCUGGAGUCUGGAGAUGUGAAGUCUGAGUCGUCCUUCUCUGAGGACGUCUUUGUCCCACUGGACUCGUCCUGCAAAGCGUUUAUCCUGCAGCUCUGGGACCUCGACACCUUCAUACAGAUGAAACAUGAGUGAGUGUGUCUGAUUAAUUAACAUCUCACAGGAGACAUAAAGGGCGUUGGGGGAGGGGUCCGUGCUGGUGGGGAACAUCCAUUCCAGUGAGAUGUUGUGGUUCUCCUCUGCAUGAUACCAGCUCUGUGUCACAUUCACUACAAAUGACCCUGCUGAGGAGACAGAGAAGGAGAGGAGGAGGUGACAAAGUGACAGCUUUAACAUGGAGCCUUUAGACUCCAUCUCCAGAUGUUUCUGAGGAGUGUGUGCUGAUGCUUCACAGCUGCUUCACAAACACAAAAGUGAACUGACCACAGACACAGGAGGUCAGGAUGAAGAUCACCAGGAUGCUGCAGAUCAUCUCCUCCCUGUGAGAGGAGACAGAGGAGAAGAGGCUCUUACCUGUUAUAUGGUAGACUUGUUAAUAAGUCACUAGCAUGUGUUAUUAUGUUAUGUUUGCUUUUCUUGUGUCUUUCUGCUGUGACACAGUGAUAGAGCAGCCAUCCUGCUUGUGCAUUUCUAUUUUGUGGUUUUCAGUCAUUGUAUGUUGCUGUGAAUUGAUUGAUUUGUUUGAAGUGGUAUUCUGCCUCAGUUUGUGAUGAUUACACUCUUUUAUGGACCAUCCGGGAAGUUUACACUGACUUCCUGGAUGGUACAGUUAGUCACACAUGGUCUAUUUUAUUUCUUUUUGUUUUAUACCUCAAGUGAACAGUACCUAAUUUAUUUCAUUGAGACUCACUUGUGGAGCUGUCUGCAACUACGGAUGAUGUUUAAUACGAAACACGGCGGCGUUUGGUGCUCCGACGCGUGAAGAACUUCAACAAGACUUUAACGGAGGAUGCGGAGGAGAAACAAACAUGGAGGCUGAUGGAACGAAGCAUGAAGAUGCAGAAUGGACGUAACUUCUUCUUUCCUUUUGGACCGAGUUUCCAGCUGAACCUUAAACAAACCAUGUUUCCUCCAUCAGCUUCUUAUUGUCAUCAAUGAAGCACAGUGUGAACAUCUAUGUACCGACAUGUAUAACAAACACCACACAGGGAACACACACAACCUCAUGAGGCUGUUGUUGACAAUUGUUCUUUACUAAAUAAUGCAGCUGUUUUUUCCUCAAUGGAUCAGGUUAUAUUCUGUCAUCAAUAUCAAUCAAUCUGUCAUCAAUACAUUUUUUUGAAAUUGUUUUGAAUUCUACAGACAAACUAAGUUAAUAUCUUGUAUAAUCCUCACAUAAUAAAUGUUAAUAUAAUCACAACACCAACAUCUCUCAGUCAUGUGAACUGAAGCUCUUCAACAAGUAAACUACUCAGUGAAGUUCAUUCUAAC
ensembl:lncRNA